rnacentral:lncRNA from 1 species
GGGUACCCUUGAGGUGGGGAAAUGGAUCAUACUCAUUGUCUGUUCCCAACUUGUGAUGGUCGCUCCACACAAGUAGUGCGCUCCGGAGUCAGUCACGAGGGAUGGCCUAUUUGGGGUCCCGUGGGAUAGGGAUGGCCUACUUGGGGUCCCGAGGGAUGGCCUAUUUGGGGUCCCGCAGACGGUCUCGGAUUGGUAGUAUCGAGAUGGCUAUA